GGAUGGGCAUGCGGCGCAUUAGCUAGACGGCGGGGUAACGGCCCACCGUGGCGACGAUGCGUAGGGGUUCUGAGAGGAAGGUCCCCCACACUGGUACUGAGACACGGACCAGACUCCUACGGGAGGCAGCAGUGAGGAAUAUUGGUCAAUGGGAGAGAUCCUGAACCAGCCAAGCCGCGUGAGGGAAGACGGCCCUAUGGGUUGUAAACCUCUUUUGUCGGAGAACAAAACCCGGGACGAGUCCCGGACUGCGUGUAUCCGAAGAAAAAGCAUCGGCUAACUCCGUGCCAGCAGCCGCGGUAAUACGGAGGAUGCGAGCGUUAUCCGGAUUUAUUGGGUUUAAAGGGUGCGUAGGCGGUCCGUUAAGUCAGCGGUAAAAUUGCGGGGCUCAACCCCGUCGAGCCGUUGAAACUGGCAGACUUGAGUUGGCGAGAAGUACGCGGAAUGCGCGGUGUAGCGGUGAAAUGCAUAGAUAUCGCGCAGAACUCCGAUUGCGAAGGCAGCGUACCGGCGCCACACUGACGCUGAGGCACGAAAGCGUGGGGAUCGAACAGGAUUAGAUACCCUGGUAGUCCACGCAGUAAACGAUGAAUGCUGGUUGUCCGGGUCGAAUGAGAUCUGGGCGGCGA
rnacentral:rRNA from 1 species